UCCGGUAUAGUGUAGGGGUUAACAUAACCCGCUUUCAAAUUCGGAGCCGGGUAGCCCCGGGUUCGAUUCCCGGUACCGGAA
rnacentral:tRNA from 1 species